GGAGGACCAAAUAAUCAUGAAACCACUUUUCAUUGCUUCCUCCCCUCAGCAAAGCAUAUUCUUUCCCAUUUGCUAUUACAAUUAAACUAUUAUGUCGGAUUCUCUCUCUCUUUCUCGCCAUUAGAUGCAAAAAAAAAUAUAGAUACAUAUAUAAUCAUCCCAAUCAUAGAGUCGGACUCAUUUGCCCUAAUUCGAAAAACCCUAGAAAUCGAGUCUUCAAUUUUUCCUUUUCUCUGUCGAGUUUCAGUCCCUGAUCUGAUCGAUCUGAAAAUAUGGAUGAAGAAUACGAUGUGAUUGUGCUUGGAACCGGUCUCAAGGAGUGCAUCCUCAGUGGUCUCUCUCCGUCGAUGGCCUUAAGGUUCUGCAUAUGGAUAGAAAUGACUAUUAUGGAGGAGAAUCUACUUCACUUAAUCUUGUUCAGCUAUGGAAGAAGUUCAGAGGAAGUGAUAAUCCUCCAUCAAACCUCGGUUCUAGCCGGGAUUACAAUGUUGACAUGAUGCCAAAGUUUAUAAUGGCAAAUGGUGCUCUUGUAAGGGUCCUCAUUCAUACUGAUGUAACUAAAUACUUGUACUUCAAGGCUGUUGAUGGUAGCUAUGUCUAUAGCAAGGGCAAGGUUCACAAGGUUCCUGCAACUGACAUGGAGGCCCUUAAAUCUCCUUUGAUGGGUAUUUUUGAAAAGCGUCGUGCUCGCAAGUUCUUCAUAUAUGUCCAGGCUUAUAAUGAGAAUGAUCCAAAAACACAUGAAGGGAUGGAUCUGACACGAGUGACUACUAGGGAGUUCAUUGCAAAAUUUGGUCUUGAUGACAACACUAUGGACUUUAUUGGCCAUGCAUUGGCACUCUAUAGAGAUGAUCACUACUUGGAUGAGCCUGCAUUGGACACUGUUAAGAGAGUAAAAUUGUAUGAGGAGUCUCUAGCUCGUUUUGGAGGAGGUUCACCAUACAUUUACCCUCUGUAUGGGUUGGGGAGCUUCCUCAGGUUUGCCUAUUACUGCAUUCGCCGUUUAAGUGCUGUCUAUGGUGGGACCUAUAUGUUGAACAAACCUGAGUGCAAGGUAGAGUUCGAUGAGGAAGGAAAAGUCAUGGGUGUCACAUCCGAAGGGGAAACAGCUAAGUGCAAGAAAGUUGUUUGUGAUCCUUCCUACUUGACCAACAAGGUUAGGAAAGUUGGAAAAGUUGCUCGAGCAAUUGCAAUUAUGAGCCAUCCCAUUCCAAACACCAAUGAUUCUCAUUCAGUGCAGAUUAUUCUCCCUCAGAAACAGUUGGGUCGCCGCUCAGACAUGUAUGUAUUCUGUUCUUCUUACUCUCACAAUGUUGCACCAAAAGGAAAGUUCAUUGCAUUUGUCUCAACAGAAGCUGAGACUGAUCACCCUGAGACUGAACUUAAGCCGGGGAUUGAUCUUCUUGGGCCUGUGGACGAGAUAUUCUUUGAUAUUUAUGACAGAUAUGAACCAGUCAAUGAGCCUUCUCUUGACAAUUGUUUCAUAUCAACAAGUUAUGAUCCGACAACACAUUUUGAGUCAACUGUUGUGGAUGUGCUCAAUAUGUAUACCAUGAUCACUGGAAAGGUUCUUGACCUCAAUGUGGAUCUAAGUGCUGCCAGUGCUGCUGAAGAAUGAGGAACUCUGUGUUUGUUGAUGCAUAUGUGCUACUCUCUGUUUUUAGCCUGCCAAACUCUUUAGAUAUAAGAUUUUGGCGGGAUCUGCUAUGUAAAAUUGGAUUGAGUUGAAUUUGAUCCUUUGUUUUCCUUGCAGAAUGUCCCAUAAAAUGCCUUAGUGUUAUCAGCUUCCUCUUGAAAAUUAUUUGUGUUUAUGCGGUUAUGGUCGGUGCUUUCAUCCUUUAACCUUUCUAGUUUCUACCCUUGGGAACUGCAUCAUUGAUAUGGUGCUAGGUUUAGUUUGGAACUGGAGAAGGAUGCUUUAUGGAUAUAUUUUGUUGGAUUACUUAAGGGGUGCUUGGGCAGCUCAAGAGUUUAGCCCUUUUGGAUGUCCUCUGGAUUCCAAACGGCUAAUAUAAUUGAUCUCAGUUAUCCAUUUGCUAA